CGAGACUUUAUUUUUUUCACUUUGAGAACCAUUCCAACCCAGUCAAACUUUUGGUAAAGUCAUUCCCAGAGCAAGGUUGCCAGGAGGAUUUAGAAUUUCGAAAAUUAGUGGGAAUGCAUUUAUUGCGAUAUUUCUGUCUAUUUUUCUGCCUUGGGAGUAGUUCGGGAUGGAAUUUAUUUCCAUGGAGGGCUACAAAAAAUUCACUCGGGAAUUUCACGAGGGAGAAACUAUCUUCUUUGAGGAACCAACGGAAUCGCUUGCAGAGUCUGGUCAUUGAGGAGAAAAGGGCAGAAAUAGGGAAAAAGGUGACGUUGAAUUCAUCCCUGGCGACGAAAUUUUCAAGGAAAAAUUUCGUGAAAAAUUUUGUACCCGUGAAUGAAAUAAUUGAGAAAAAGUCUGACAAAAGGAAGCCACAGAGUUUUGAUCCACGUCUGGAAUUGGUUGACAGAAUGUUGAAAUCUGAAAAAAUGAAAAAUAUUUUAAAUCUAUUUCCGGCCGAGUUUGGAAUUAAAAUAAAAAAGAUAUUAAAGAUCGAUGGGUUGAAAAAUAGUCAUGAAGAUUCUUCGGGAAUUAAUUUUGCCGCUAGUAGAGGAGGAGGAGGGGGUGGAUGGGGAUGGGGGAUGGGUGGUGAAAUCGACGCAUUCACCAUUCUGGCUGCCUUAGCUUUCUUAACUUUAUUAACCCUGCAAAUACCAUCCAUAUAAAAGGACAGAGGACUCGCUCUUCAGCUAGUUCGUACUUCAAGAUAGAAAUCUGGUAUAGUCACGAAGUUUUCGAUGUUUCGCCCCGUGGCGAUUUUAGGUCGCAAACCUGUCCUUGGCGAAAGAAUCCUGUGGACGUCAAAAAAAUCCCUCACGGUUGUAUGUUGGCUCAUUUUCCUCGUAAUCGCAUGUAGUAUCUAAUAAAAAAUGUCCGAAAGUCGAAAUAAAAUUAUCCUCGGACUUUUUUUUUCGACGCCUCAAAUUUUUUCUGGCUUUCUCUGACCUUAUCUGGCCGUAGAACCUUUUGACAUUUUUGUGCGGAGUUUGAGAUUUCAAAAACUACAGUCGAUAUAAAAAAGAUGUCUUUGUUGUCGUCGUCGGAGUUUGGCAGAGAUAUUUUGAUCCGAAGAGGGGAAAACGCGCAUUAAAUUUUAAAGUGCAAAAUUUGGGCUGCUCUCUUAUUCGGAUGCCCAAAUCAUUAGGCGGGAGGUCGUCCCUUUUUUGCAAAUUUCACACUAAUUAAAUAUAGUGUUGGCUAGGUUACUAGUCAACAUAUGAGAGGAUAUGCUGGGAGACCCCAGAUUGUAAAUAAUUUAUUAAACACGUAUUAUUCAAACAUCCACAGCAAUGAAGACGAAGACCAUAGUUCUUCUGACGAUCCUCGUUAUCGCACUUUUCUGCAUCUUUGAAGCCAACGUGGUCGAAGCGAGAUGUAGAGGACUACGAAGGGCGGCUUGUUAUGCAAAAUGCGCACAGAAGGGACUCGUCUGUAUCUGGCCGGACGGAAGGUGUCAAUGCGAAACGUUCUAGAAUGGACCUAUUAAUCCAAAACAAUGGUGCCUGCCGAUAUCGAAAUUCGAUAAAUAUUAUAAUAUGGAUUAAAUUUAAUUUUUUAUGGAAUAAUUUGAAAUAAAGUUCUUAUAUAAGACUAUAACUUAAA